CCUCUGGGACCGGCCGCAGCUCGGCGGCCCUCCUCGUGGCCGCGGACGAGCACCGAACCUCGAGCAGGGUCUCCGGGGACCCCGGCAGGCCUGGCACCGGGUCGAAGCCCAAGCCGAAGGCCGGGGAAGCAGCCCCGCCCCCGCGAGUGGGGGGAGCAGGGAAGGCGUGAAGACGGGGAGGGUGAAGGACGGAGCUGAUCUGGCGCAGCCUGCGCCAGACGGUGCUAUUUGCUUCAAGAAGCCAUUGUUUACUAGACAGCGAGUGUGGGCUGCUUGCUCGUACAUUCCGCAAAUAUUUACUGAGUGCCUGCCAGCCGGCGCUGUGCAACCGCACAGUGCGCGCUGCAGAAACAAUCGGGAACAAAGGCAGAGAAGUCGCCGCCCCCGUAGACGGCGCGGGGCGUGGAGGGGGAGGGCGCGAAACGAGGCACUGCGCGCGAUGUCAGCCGUGAUUAGUGUUCCAAGCGAGAGGCGCUUUGUUGCGGGGGUCCCCCCCCCCCGUCAUAAGGGAGCUGAUCUAGCCUGGGGCGGGGGGGGGGGGUGAGGAAGGCUCCCCGCGGGCAAAGAAUGUGGGAGCUGAAAUGUGACGGAUGGCAGUAAUCGCGUCCCGGCGAAGAGGGAAGGGAAAAGCAUCUUGGGAGGAGGGCUCAGCAGGUGCAAAGCCCUUACAACGAAGGUAGAGAAGCCGGUGGUAAAAAUCGAAGCGAGUAGCUGUCGACCUGGAUCCCGACAGAAGGUUAACCAGUCAACCGCCGCUCGGAGCGACUCAGGGGUUCCUGUGCCUCCGGGAAGGUGGAGGGGAUUCACCGUGCCUUCUUCCUCGCACCAGUUCAGCGGAACGAGGUGACGCUGAACGCCUACCUACCCUCGACCGGGAGCAGGUGCCGCGCCAAGGCCGUUGCGCUCAUGGCAGAGCAAGGCGGUGGGCGGGGGACGAUCCAUGGGGCGCCGCCGCUCCGCAGGUUACAACCACCUGAAUCGUGCCAAGGACCACGUGAGUGCGCAAGCAGACCCGUCCCCAGUCGGGCAUCCGGAUGAGCCAGCGCUUCACGGCAGCCUCGCCGAGGCACCAGCUGAGCCACAUCCACACUCCUGAGCCGCUGAAACCUGGUGUGUCAGUUUAGGCUGCUCAUUUGGUGGUACUUUGUUACACAACAACGACUAACGGAUACAUCGAGUCGUAUCGGCAGGCUUGUCCGACUCCGCGGCUUUCCAGCACAGAACCCUCUGUUUCCAAAUUCUCUGGAUGUUCUUCUAGAAGAGCUUCAAGGACCCGUGUUGCUCUCCAAGUUCCCCUUCUGCUUCACCUGAUAACUCAUUCUAGGCGGUAUAGAGUCUCGUCUUGGCAAAGUGUUUUCACAUGCUCUGUUAGCCGAGCCACUCGCUUGCUUGCUGAGUUUUUACCUUCUUUCCAGCCACACCAGACGGCUGUUCUCUCCUAACUGCAGCUUGAGGGUGAGGGUCAGAGAGGUGACGUAAUCAGUGCAGUAGACCCCAUCCUGCGAAUGCCUUCACGGCCCUCAUCUUGAACCCAGAGUGAAGCAGACUCACUGAAGCACAGCGACGCCUCUGAGAAAGGGAUUUCAUGGAAAACUGCGUGUUCUCAUCCCUGCUUAGAGAAGCACACUGGGCCUAUUAAAAGCACUGAUAAGUCCUGCAUUGGGCGGGGGGGAUGGAGAAACCACCUUGAUGUCUCUUGAGGAACGUUGUUCUGAUGCACACCCUAAUGCUACAGGGUAAGUAAAAUGAUCUCCAUUUUCCAGAUGAGGAUGUCGAGGCUUGUUCUCACGCCUUGCCCAAGGACACCCACUCUGACCCAGCCAGCCUGGGAUUCAGACCCGGCUGGGGGACACCAAGGCCUGGAACGUCACUGACCCAUAGGACCUCUCAAACCAAGCGAGGAAGUGAGUGAGAUUUUGUUGGGUCUCAAGGGGCCGGUUAAUGUCGAGAAGUCGCUAGAACGAGGGCAGGGGCCGACACGGGGGGCCUCGUUGAUGUCGUUCUGCUAGAAACACGUGACAUUCCAGCACCUCCUUUCUCCUUUGAGAACCACAGGUGCAGACACAUUUUAAUGUGCCGUUUUCUGUAAAAUUAUGGCACGAGGUGAAGGAACCAGCUGUCUGGGCCCCGGUGCCUCCUGGAACAGCACGAGCCCCGGCGUUUCUUCCCCUGAGACCUCGCUGGGGGUGGUGACACUGUUACUGAAAAUGGCUCACGCGCCUUGCGUCCCACGGACGCGCGAGGUGCGCGCUGUGCUGAGCACGGCCUGGAGAAUCCUGGCGGGGGCCCUGCUCACGCUCCACUCUGCCAGUGAGGAACCCGGGACAGACACAGCUUGACCAGGUAAUGCUGGGCCAGAAGCAGGAGCCAAAUGGUCUUCAGAUAUGUCGGGAGGGAUUUCGGGAGAUGCUGUAGAGACUUGCCAAGCGUGUGAGAGAGGGGUCACCGACAGCGCCAGCAGGGACACGGUCCGCCAGGUUUUUGUGCGCCCGGCGCUCUCCGAACGGCUCCGCUAGUCCCCGUGACAACUCUGAGAUGCUGUCGCCAUCCCCGUUUUCUAGGCGAGAAAACUGAGGCACGGGAAGGUGCAGUGACGUGCCCAGGGCCCCGCGGCCAAGCGGUGGCGGAGCCGGGACUCGAGCCCGGAGCCCUGUGCUCCCACCCCCUGCCCUCCGCGGCCUCUCCAGGCCUCGCCGAGAGCCGGGCCCUGGCAUCGGCCCCCUCCUCCCCGCGCCAGCCCGUGGUGCCGAGGCAGCCACAGCCUCCGCGGGGCGCCGCGGGCCGCGCAGAAGAGCCACACGGCCGACCCGCAGCCCGUGUUCUAACCACCAGGCUGCCCGCCCUGCCCCUGGGGCACCUGGCGCCAGGCGGCGGACGAACGAACGGGUCUUGCCUUCGGAGGGCCGCGCCCAGCUUGGCAGGGCAGGCCCCGACGGACCCCAGCCGCCACCCCCCGGGCCCGUGGCCGCCCCUACGCCGACGUAACGUGGGCCCGAGAGGCCGGGGGCAGAAGACGGCUUGGUGCUCUCCUCGUCUGCCGUCUGCCGCUCGCUCCUCAUUCUUGCUGAACUUUAACAAAAUAAAUAAAAAUCCCAGAGAAUGCCGGAACCAGA